GGGAAUGGGAGUGGUGUGACUGCCCUUUGGCAAGUCUGCUCUGUUUGAAGACUUGUUCAAACAACAGUCUAUAACGUCUGACGUACAACCGGUUUGUUGAAGAUUAUUUUAGGUUUUGAUAUCGUACUAACUGUAAAGGGAUUUUUAUCGACGUUUAGAUUGCUACAUUUAAUCACGGUUUUGUUUAGUUGUUGAUGAAACCGUACACGUUUACGCAAUAUUGACCCACAUUUUUCGCGGGUUUCUGUCUAAACUGGAGAUAGCAGUGAGUAAAGUGUCAAAUCCAGAAGAAAUAACGUCCCCUUGGAGGCAGAAAGAUGAAGCGCAUAAAUGACCGAGGAUUUGAGGGGACAUACUUUGAUGGACAGCAUCUGACCUUAUCUGACCUAAAAAAGAAAAUAGAAGAGAAAAUAGAACACAGGUACUUGUUUAACAGCAACAUUGCUGCUUAUCCCAAAUCUGUGGAAUUCGAUGUAAAGAAGGUGUCUCAUGUCACUGGGAGAUGUGGUCUUGAGGGUAUUUUUACGGAUUUGGGAUUUAGACAGCCAUCAAACACAUCCCACUUCCUCUGGUGGGAAUUGUCAAUCACAACUGAUGACAUCUGCUCUGCUGAACAACGGUUUCUGACGUCAUUAUCUCCUUGUACCCACAUUUGCGACCAGUUACCCUUUCUUGAGUACUUCACCUCAAAGGCCUUCCAGAAAGAGUCUCCCUAUGGAAAUUUCCGCUUCACAUUCUCAAUAAGAGAGCUCCUGUAUCACUAUGGGGAUCAGUUCUGUCAUGACCAAAGUCCAGUUCUACGAGUUUAUGAGACUGUGUUGUACAAGCAAGAGAUUCUCUAUACCAUCGUAGUGCAUCCUCGUAACAUUCAUUGUUAUGACGAUUAUCCUCGACUUCCUAAAAAUGGUGAUGGGGUGUGUGGGUAUGCUAAAGGGUCCAUAUGGUGGCGCUGUCAGUCCCCUUCUGAAACCUACAGGCAUAGGUUUAAUGUAAACUGGAACAACCAGUAUUAUGUUUGGGAUCAUGUGUGUUUAGCCCUUCACAUGGAGCCUGGUUGGGUGUUGCAUGUGGAUCAGGACAGGCUAUUUAAAAGACUGAAUGUGUGUGAAGUGUCUCAGCGCCAUCUUUUAAAACCCCCGGAGACUCCACUGAGUUUAAAUGAGGCUGACAAUAUUUUUACCAAUCUUAAAGCCGGGGUGGGCUAUCCUGGGGUUAGGGAUUAGGCAGACUGUGGAGUAUGUAGAUUAGCAGAUAUUACAUUCAGAUAAAAAGAUGUUGUCACCAAUGAAUGUACACUAUAUUGACAACCGCUUCUUUUGAUAAAGAGAGCUCAGGUGCAUAUAGUUUAUAAUAAAAAAACAAACAAACCAAAAAAAUACAUUUAAAAGUACUGUUAUUAAUUUGUUAAAUAUAAAGAUUGUUAAAUAUAUAGAUUGUGGUAUCUGUUAUUUACUUAAUAGUGAUUAAUCGGGCGAUGAACUGAUUAGACUUUAGGUGUUCUCAACAUAUUUGUCCCCAGUGCACCCUGUCACAGAUCCCGUUAAAAAAGGAUAAUCAUAAGUAUCAAGUCAAGUGUAUCAAUAAAUGUAUAAAACUGGUUGAAUGAAAAAUCAGCCUUCAUAAUGAAAAACAUAUACCUUGAUGAUUAGCCGUUUAAUUAAGUUAAUUUAUUUUAGAUAAGUUUAAAAGCCUUGUAGCUAGGGCUGUGCCGAUAAACGAUAUCAUAUCGCGAUAGAAUGUAUUUCAAAAACGAUGAUAAGCUAUUGGCAUUUUGACUCGAUAUGGAUUUAUCUUACAGUCUAACAGAACGCAGAAAUAAACGCAACAACAGUCAGUCAGCGUGCAGCUUUUAUCAUGCGCGUCAAAGUACAAAGUCCAUUUCAUACUGCACUUGGCAAAGAAAACUCGACAUGAGGAGGAAAACAUGACUGGAAGCGGAAACAAAGGUGAACUAACCUCGAGUUGUCAUCACGCAGUUUAUCAAGUGUCUUAUUUUUUUUUCGCAAUCGCCGGUUAAACAAAACAAACUUGUGGUGCAAUUGCAAGCGAGUUACUUCGAAACUCAAGCACAAACGUUUUUAUAUCCAUCGUUAACAUACCUGCUAACAUGAGCUGGUGCAUACGAAACAAACCAGCGCUGCCCUGUACAGAUUAGAGAUGUAAUGAAGUGAGUUUGUGUGCACAUUAAAAUAUUGAACCUUGUAUGUAAGAUGCUUGCAUGAUUAAAGAAAUGUACUACAGUUUAUGUGAGAUGUCUUUUUGAAUGACUAAGGUUCACUGAAUGCAUUGAAUAAAUCCCUCUACUCGAGCAAGACAUUAUUGCAGUGUUAUGUGUGUGCGCAGGUGAUGAGCCAAUAGCGUUCGAAUGUACACAGUAACGGAGCCCUUUCAUUGGUUGAAUGUACUGAAUGAACACUCCUUUACUUAACGAGUCAAAAUGAGACUGAAUGAACUGGUACAUGUUGUUUAUGGCCUAAUAUCCUCUGUGUUCCAACAGUGCAUUCAUUUAAUUAAAUUUUAACUGGUUAAAGGUUAACUUUUGUUAAUAAACUGUAUUUAAAAUAGAUUCUUUUAAUACAGUUUUUUAAUUAAAUAUAUAUCAAAAUAAAUAUCGUUAUCGAUCAAUAUAGAAAAAAACUAUCGAGUUUACUUUUUUGCCAUAAAGCCCAGCCCUACUUGUAGCUCUCUUAAGUUUAUUAAGGCCACUCCCCAGCUGGUUAUUCUGUUUUAACACUUUUUUUUUCGUGUGUCUUGUUUUUUAAAUGUAAAAACCUUUCCGUUAUGUUGGAGUUAAAACUUGUACUUUUUUAACUGUCCACUAGAGGUCUGUGUUGGAUCGCUAGUAUUGUUGGCUUGUUUUAUCUGCAAUGAUACAAAACCCACAGUAGCUGGUCCCAUACACACACAUAUUACAUUCACUACAUUUAGUCAUUUUUUGUUCCUUGAGUCUGUUUUAUUGUGUUUAAUUAUGCUUUAUUGACAAUAUAAUGUCACAUAUGGCUUGUUGCAAAAAAUAUCCUGCUUUAGUUUUUUAAUCUAUUGUUCUUGCUUGGCUUUGAUCAAUGAUGUAACAUACUUGAUGUCAUAUAGGCCUUAUUCUAUUACAAAGCCAACAAAUAUUGUGACUAUAAGUGUUUCUCUGUUCCAAGCAGUUAACUUAAUGUAAUCAUUCUUGAUACAUCACCCACAUAUUCCAUUUUUCUUACAUAAUUCUUAAAAAUGUCUGUGUUGUUCAUUCCUUCAACUCUGGUCUUACCUAUAAACAUGGCUUUGUAGAGUAUACUUAUUGUUAGCUCAUUGACAAAAUUCUCUGCUAAAGGAAUAAAUGUAAAUGUAAUGAAUAUGUACCCCCUACCCCUUCUCUCCUUCCACUGUUUCCUUCUCAUCUGAAACAAAAUUAAACUAAUAAUAAUUUACCUAAGUUGAUAAACUAUAACCAUGUGCCUCUAAAUAAACUUUAAAAUUCCAUUGGCUUAUCUAUUCUCAGAUAUAAUUAGCUAAAAACCCCUUUAAAACAAACUGUUUUCUUACAAGUGCUUGUGCUUUUGCAAUGUACAUGCUCUAUGUUUGACAGUUUAAAGGGGUCAUAUGACACGAUUAAAACGAAUAUUAUCGUUUGUUUUAGAUAUAAUGCAAUGUGUAUACACGAUUUAAGGUUCAAAAACGCUGUAUUUUCCACAUACCGUGCAUGUUUGUAUCUCCUCUUUGCCCCCAAAGCUCAUCGCUCUGAAAAGCGAGGUGUGCUAUGAUUGGCCAGUUAACCAGUGCGUAGUGAUUGGUCGAAUACUGCAAGCGUGUGAUGGAAAUGUAACGCCUCUUACCAUAUUUGGAACAUCAGGUUCCUCUUCAAUUGUACUGACAGGUACGCCCACCUUACUUGCGUAUACAUUUGGGCGGUCUUAGACAAAUCAUACCACGAACUGACGUGGAUUUGUGGGGGUGUGGUUACACGAGGCGUUUCAGGCAGGUCUGGGUGAGCAUUCGCUUUUAGAUAGAAUGCAUCUUUUGUUCCCACACUUUCAUUUUUGCAAUUUUACGUGUCUAAUACAUGCAUGGGCAACUUAUAACACACCAAAGACAAGUAAAAACAUGUGUUCGCGACAUAUGACCCCUUUAAAGUCACCAUGAAACGGAAGUUGCGAUUGACUUUUCCAUAUCAUGACGUGUAUCCGAGUGAAAAGGCUUCUGAAAUUUAAAAAAAAAAAAUCCUGGCCAUUGGACAGUCAGUAUAGUCCUACAUCUUUUUUUGUUGCUGACGUCAUGUGGUGAAGAGCUGUUGUUGAGAGGGGUAGAGGAGCUUAACGUUUUAGAUUAAAGAUUACAAGUGCAAAUGAAUUAAAAAAAUAAUAAUGGUGUGCACGGAUAAAUCAUUUAUAAUAAUCACUGCAACACUGUAAAACACUUAGAAUUUUCCUGUUUGACUGCAUGGUGACUUGAAGCUCAGUGUUUCCAGCUGCAUGCCAUAAUGCCAACACCCUAUAAGGUCACAUGGCUAAUUUAGAUGAUGUCAUCGCCACAUGUCCUGAGUGGAGAAUCCCAUCUUACACAGUGUAAAGAGAAAGAAAGUGAGUGUGGUAGGAGAAAGAGAACAGGAAAAAGAUACAUUUUUAUAUUAGGGAAUGUUGGAAAAGGAAGCUCAUUUGUAUGAUUUUUAGGAAUAUGUUGAGGUUUCUGGAUCAUAGAAGAUGAAACAUUAGACUAGUUUAACUGGGGAACAAAAGCGGAAGAAACACAGAGAAAGAGAAGGUUUGAGGUGAAAAGCUGUAACAACUGUUAGAAACUGUCACAGUGAGGGAACUCUACCUACAAGCAGCAGCCUAGCUCAGAGGAGUCUUCUGUUUACAAUGGGAAAGUCAGGUAAGUGCACACUGCUAAAUGAUUGUCUCUUAACAUCUGUGAUCUUGUCAAAUAGAUAUAAUAUCCACCGAUUUCAUCUGUUGUUGCUAAAUGAUGUUUUAUCAGCACAGGUUGCCAGCUUUACCACACUGAGUGCUUCUUUGUUUGUUUGUGUGUGUGUGUGUGUGUGUGUGUGUGUGUGUGUGUGUGUACGCUUGUCAGUGGCUUUGUGUACACGGGAUUGUUAGUUACUCAAUUCUUGCUUUGUUUGAAAGAAUAGCAUCAUGCAGUUGGAUGAAUAUCCCUGCAAUAGUCACAAGCACAAUUGUCUGGCAACAUUUGUUUAGUUUAAUAGCUUUCGUAAAGGGAGCUAACAUUGUCUGCAAUCAGGACAUUACAUCUAAAUGUUUUGUCACUGUGUGGCUUUAUUUUAAAACAGUCAAAAGUGUUUUAAAUGGAAUAUUUCAUAUGAAAGGACUUCAAUUGUGUAAAGGAAUGGUUAUACCAAUUUGUAGCUCAUUAAAAAAAUUGAUCUUAUUCUUAAUGCCUUUGUACCAAAGGUCAGAUUUCUAUUCUUCCAAAGCGAGAUACUCUUUCAAACAUUGUUAAAUUUUGCCGAAAAAGAAAGAUCACCAACAAAAUGGUCCAUUCCAGCUCAUGUGCAUGCUGUAAGCCAAUGCAAAUUCGUGAACAAACAAUAUAAUCAUAAUAUUAAACAUUAAUGGUAAUAAAUAUGAUAAAAAACAUGUGUAUUUGUUCCUGUACUAAACUUCUGGCUUAGCAUAGUCUACACUUCUCAGUUCUGUUUAUAGUAAUUAAAGAUGUUUGGCUUAAAUCUGUUGUGUAAGAUUCUAGCAAAAACAGAAGUUGCACUUAAUUUCAAUCUCUUUCUAUUGAUUUCCUCUUCACUUUAUAGCCUCCAAGCUUUUUUGUGAGGAUGUAUUAAAAACUCAUAAUGAGUACAGAAGAAAGCAACAGGCACCAUCAUUAAAACUCAGCAAUAAACUGAGCCGUGAGGCAGCAAGAUACGCGGAGAGCCU